ensembl:lncRNA
CACACCAAUUGGUCAAUUCUAAAAGUUCGCAGCAACUACUGACCAAAUUCCUGCCUCUCAACCAUUAGCCUUCUCUCAGCGAACAUGCGAAGGUGAAGCGCUGUUGUGCUUGAUAUUGUCCGUUGCUUGACAGUAUCAGCAAAUGACAGCUGUCCUGAGUCGAAACGAUGCCCAUGGCCAUAUAAGAUAUCGGGAUUUAUUAGACCAGGCGACAAUCUUACAAACUUCAACUCCAGUUUCAUUGAGCCACUGCCCACUGUAGCCUCAGAUUCCUGUUCUUGGCUGACAGGAGUUGAACUCCUGAUGUGGUCUUCUGCUGUUGUAGCCCAUCCACCUCAAGAUUUUUCUUUUCAUAAGAGGACAGACUGGAGGAAUUAUGUGCUCUCUACAGUAUAGA